AACAGGAUUAGAUACCCUGGUAGUCCACGCCGUAAACGAUGUCAACUAGCCGUUGGAAUCCUUGAGAUUUUAGUGGCGCAGCUAACGCAUUAAGUUGACCGCCUGGGGAGUACGGCCGCAAGGUUAAAACUCAAAUGAAUUGACGGGGGCCCGCACAAGCGGUGGAGCAUGUGGUUUAAUUCGAUGCAACGCGAAGAACCUUACCUACUCUUGACAUCCAGAGAACUUUCCAGAGAUGGAUUGGUGCCUUCGGGAACUCUGAGACAGGUGCUGCAUGGCUGUCGUCAGCUCGUGUUGUGAAAUGUUGGGUUAAGUCCCGCAACGAGCGCAACCCUUAUCCUUUGUUGCCAGCGGUCCGGCCGGGAACUCAAAGGAGACUGCCAGUGAUAAACUGGAGGAAGGUGGGGAUGACGUCAAGUCAUCAUGGCCCUUACGAGUAGGGCUACACACGUGCUACAAUGGCGCAUACAAAGAGAAGCGAACUCGCGAGAGCAAGCGGACCUCAUAAAGUGCGUCGUAGUCCGGAUUGGAGUCUGCAACUCGACUCCAUGAAGUCGGAAUCGCUAGUAAUCGUAGAUCAGAAUGCUACGGUGAAUACGUUCCCGGGCCUUGUACACACCGCCCGUCACACCAUGG
rnacentral:rRNA from 1 species